UGCGGAAUUGGAAUCUCGAUUUAUAUAUGCUAACUUGUUUUGAUUUUAUAUAACAGCGUUACUCUCUGAUUCAUCGUCUUCUUAUUGACGGCAGAGGAAAUUGCAAGGGCUUCCAGAGAAAAUUGCAGCGAUUCGAUCAGUAUUUGGAAGAAACAUCCAUAUCCUUUGGGCGGUCUAGACUUUCUUGAGAAUGUGUGGUUGAUUUCAGAACAUCGCUUCUUUAGAAAGGGUUGUAUGGUGCGUGAAGGAUUUGAUUUGCCACUCUCUUGUCUUUCUUGGUUUAUUCUACAAAUAUAGUUGAUGGCAUCACAUAAAAAGGAGUAUGUAAGUGAGCACUCUAUCACUAUAAGUAUUCACAACAGAGAUUUUUUCUUUCUAUUUCUGAUCAAUGGUUCUCGUUUUUGUUGCAUAA